rnacentral:siRNA from 1 species
CAACUAUAUGACGACAUGUGGUC